CACACUGGACUGAGACACGGUCCAGACUCCUACGGGAGGCAGCAGUGGGGAAUAUUGCACAAUGGGCGCAAGCCUGAUGCAGCCAUGCCGCGUGUGUGAAGAAGGCCUUCGGGUUGUAAAGCACUUUCAGUCGUGAGGAAGGUAGUGUAGUUAAUAGCUGCAUUAUUUGACGUUAGCGACAGAAGAAGCACCGGCUAACUCCGUGCCAGCAGCCGCGGUAAUACGGAGGGUGCGAGCGUUAAUCGGAAUUACUGGGCGUAAAGCGCAUGCAGGUGGUUUGUUAAGUCAGAUGUGAAAGCCCGGGGCUCAACCUCGGAAUAGCAUUUGAAACUGGCAGACUAGAGUACUGUAGAGGGGGGUAGAAUUUCAGGUGUAGCGGUGAAAUGCGUAGAGAUCUGAAGGAAUACCGGUGGCGAAGGCGGCCCCCUGGACAGAUACUGACACUCAGAUGCGAAAGCGUGGGGAGCAAACAGGAUUAGAUACCCUGGUAGUCCACGCCGUAAACGAUGUCUACUUGGAGGUUGUGGCCUUGAGCCGUGGCUUUCGGAGCUAACGCGUUAAGUAGACCGCCUGGGGAGUACGGUCGCAAGAUUAAAACUCAAAUGAAUUGACG
rnacentral:rRNA from 1 species